AACGCCAGUCUCUGAGAACAAUAUCCAGCCUUGUACAAUAUUGCACGCGAUAAAAAUAAUACUAUUGCGCAGGUGCUCAGCUCAUCACCGCCGAAUCUUUCAUUCAGGCGGGAUUUGAUUGGCACCCGACUUACGUCAUGGCAUAAUCUCUUAUCUCGUUUGGAUUCAAUUAACCUGACACAAGGUGGGGACGUGUUUCGCUGGAACCUUACUACAUCUCGGUCUUUUACAGUAGACUCUAUGUACCGUGCGUUUACGCAUUCCGAGGUAUCAAUGAGUAAUAGCAAAAAAAAUUGGAAGGCGAAGAUUCCACUUAAAGUCAAAAUCUUGACGUGGUAUCUUCGUAGGGGAGUUGUGCUAACCAAAGACAACCUCGCACGACGCAACUGGCAAGAAAGUAAGAAGUGUUGUUCUUGUACUCAUGAUGAGACAAUCAAACAUCUCUUUUUCCAAUGUAAGUUUGCACGUUUUACAUGGUCAAUCAUUCAAAUAGCGUCAAAUUUGUAUCCGCCCACGAGUGUUGCCACUUAA
rnacentral:rRNA from 1 species